AGCUGUUUCGAAUCACUGAUAAUGGAGCUGCAGAUUGUCCACCACUUCCUCUACUGUACAUUUUCAUCAUGAGAAGCUUGAAUUCUCACAAUCUUCUGGUAUCUCAGAUGAUACAAGGCUUCUCUUUAACUGACCGAUGCUCGUGCGGUGCUGAAGCUGUCCAGGUCGCUGUGUGGUGCUCCUGCUGUCACGUCGCAGGAGAUGAGGAAAUGAGGAUGCUGGGCUCGGGAAAGGAAAGCCUUUGGGGAUGUUUGUAGCACCACUUCCCAUUCCGCAGUACUGAAACCUUUCGUAGCUGGAAAUGCAGAACCCUUCUCCUGCAGAGUAUUGGCUUUGAUAAAAACAUGAGAGAUCUCUUUUAAUGUCACAGCAGAGACUGGUGAUGUUUGACACGUGUAGGAGAAACAGAUGUAGAAAAUAGAUUUGGGGAGACAGCAGAUCAAGUAAUUUAGCCAGUUUAAAAUGAUUUAGGCAUCAUCUCCCUCCAACGCUGUCUGGGAAACUCCUCUGACUUGCACAGUUGAAGACUUGCUCCCAGUAAAUAAAUACAUUAUUUCCGCCUUCAUUUUUUCCAGUCAUUCAGAUCUCACCCCAUUAAUAGUGAAGAUUUUGGAAUGUCAAAAACUUGGAGUAUCUGCGUCUCGGAGCUGUACAAUAGGUCUCUGUGGCAGGCGGGCCCUGAACCCAUCUUUCUGCAUGGAGGUGUUGGAUUUGCCCUGUGAUUCUCAUAGCCUGCACAGCACUGUGAGGGGCUGUGCCUAAAAAACAUUGCUAAAUUUAAACAACAGCUUCUUCAAGAAGCUGAAUGAAUUUCAAGUUUAAAACAUUACAUUUGGCUUUUUUUUUUUUUUUUUUUAACUUGUGAAUUUAGUAAGAAACAAGUAGCAAUGACCCUUUCAUUAGAGACAAAGGGAAGUGUGUAUAAAUGUCUUUUGUGGCUUGGCAGUAAACUUGCUGAGGACAACAUAAAACGUGCUCAUUAAACGUUCUUUAAACAGUAUUGCUUUUUGUUUUCAGAAGCAAUGUGGUGUUUCAUCCCACCAUUAAUUGCCUAAUACCAAUUAUGGCAUAAACAAGCCAUUUGUUAUUGUAACUUUUUCCAUGUAUUUUUCAAGGUUUUUACUCUUGACACCUAUUAUGCAUCCGGGAACAGAAGUGGCUUUUGUCAUGAAAUCUAAAUAAUGAGAUCAGUAAUCAACAGUUUUACAUAGACAAUCUUGUACUAUAAAUGCUACUGCAGCUCUUGAGAACUUUACA